rnacentral:rRNA from 1 species
AUGGAGGAGAGUCUCACCGCUGCUCGCCGUCGGCCGCUCCCUCAACGCCCACGACCAGGGCACCCGCUGCUGCGCCGCCCGGCGAGCAACCGCCGCCGCGAUCCUGACAGAAGCGGCCUCGCGAGCUCGAACCUCUGCAUGGUGGCCUCGCUCCUUCUGAUGCAUUCUCUGUGCAGCGGCCUCGCCGGGUGCGUCAGGAGCACCGCCGCCGGGUGCGCACGCGUCCUUGGACCCCCACGAGCUCUUCGUCCACGCCCACAUGGCCAGCGGGAACCAUGUCCAUUCCAAGACUAUCCAUCAUCCUCGCCGUGCUCUUACCUGCGUUUUGGAUGGCCGCGGUCUCCGUGUGUGCAGCUCAACGCUGCUCCUGGCACGCUCGCACUUGCAACUAUGUGGCAUGCGCAAGGCUCGGCACGCCGUCGCAGACUCUGCUGGUCGCCAUCGACCCAGCAACGCCGCCGCCUGGAUCUUGUGCAGCACCUGCGGCGCUGCGCGCCCAAGUCGUCGCCGCGAGCAUCCAGGCUCAGCACGACCUACUCCCCCAUGGCGGCGACCAUACCUCCCGCUGCCAUGUGGCUCCCUCGGCCUCUGCACGCCCGGCAACAACAGGUCCUCCUGCACCACGCACACGAGCGGCGACUGCUCGCCGGCCGACGGCUCCACUCUCCUAGACGGCGUCAGGCCCUGACCCUCCCAGUGCACGCACACAACAUGUUUGUUGUAAUGUGUGCGAGAGUGGAAAAGAGGAGAAGGAAGAAGAAUUGGUCAAGACGCACACGUGGCAAUUUUUUGCCAAGUCAGCUCCUGACGAGCGGGCCCCGUCUGUCGGAAACGCGAUCAAACACGUCAAAGCAAGCGAUAAGUGCUUUAUGCAAAAGGAUUACUGAAUGCAGGGUUUGUUUCUGCAAAUAA